ensembl:lncRNA
AUCCAGGAUUCUUCUUUUAGAGGGAAAAGUUCUCUGCUACAAGCAGAAGAUAGACACGUGGGAGUUACCAAGCAUGGAAGGGCGCGAGAUCUGGCUGUUCAAAGGUUAUUAGCACACCUCUGCUUGAAAUCCACCAAAGCCACGCUUCCGUGUCCCGUUAAGCAAGAGGCCAGCCUCCUUCACACCAUCUUCUACAUUAUUUGGAUGCAUUUUCCCAAUUUGAGGUUUGCUUUGGAUGUCCAGAGCCUCAAAAAUGUGGUAGAAAAGACUUGGAAUCCCCUUCUGGCUUGAAUGGAGGUGUGUUGGAUAGUAGGUGAAGUGCAAGUUUGCUAACCAGGAUGGGACAUGAGCUAAGAAGACGCACGGGCUUUCUGGAAGUGUAACAUAAAAUGCUAACAGUGUUGAUA